rnacentral:rRNA from 1 species
UACGAAGGGGGCUAGCGUUGCUCGGAAUUACUGGGCGUAAAGCGCACGUAGGCGGCUUUCUAAGUCGGGGGUGAAAUCCUGGAGCUCAACUCCAGAACUGCCUUCGAUACUGGAAAGCUCGAGUCCGGGAGAGGUGAGUGGAACUGCGAGUGUAGAGGUGAAAUUCGUAGAUAUUCGCAAGAACACCAGUGGCGAAGGCGGCUCACUGGCCCGGUACUGACGCUGAGGCACGAAAGUGUGGGGAUCAAACAGG